UUUAAUUUUCGUUCCAAUCAAAAACAGAGAGACUAACAUAAUCAUAACAUAAGCAAAUUUUACUAUUUGUACCAUAUUUCUCCUCGUUAUUUUUAUAAAUUAUUUUGUAACUUUGUAGUUUAUGAAUAAGAGUGGAUCCUCGCCUUUUAUAAUUUUUACUUGUGGACACUUAGUUGUAAAAUAAAUCUUAAAAUUAAAUUAAUUAGUAUAUAACUUUUCGAUACAUCAUUUUUUUGUCUUUGUCUCUUCAGCACAUCCAAAAAAGAUGUAAAAUAAAACAUGUCUAUCAUAAAAAUUUAUUCUUCUUAUAAUAAAAUUUUAAUCAUUUUAUAUUAUUUUACCUCGGAUGUGAAUGGGAGAUUACCUUAGUUAUAGAGAUGGGAUACCAAAGAGCGUCAUAAAAAACUAACAUCUUAUCGAUCGGUUUUGAAUAACCGAGGGGAAAGGUGAAAAAGUCAUUCAUUUGAUCCCCAGUGUAGGUCGGAUUUUUUUAAAAGUUAUAGAGAUGGGAUACCAAAGAGCGUCAUAAAAAACUAACAUCUUAUCGAUCGGUUUUGAAUAACCGAGGGGAAAGGUGAAAAAGUCAUUCAUUUGAUCCCCAGUGUAGGUCGGAUUUUUUUAAUAACUGAGGGGUAUAACCAAUGUUUUUUAAAAUUCCAUUUUAACUGACCUUGAUCAUUUUUUAUAUAGAUCCUACAAAUUAGGUGAGAGAAUCAUAUCAAUUGUAUUUUAUUUAGAAUAUAAAACAAAAUACCAAUUUUACAUUGUUUAUAAAAGCAAAUGUACAAUCCUUGCAAUACUUAUCGUGAUAUUUGGUAUACACAAAACCUAUGCCAAGAGAACCUAUACAUAUUUUCACCUAAAUUGACAAAACAUUUACACAAUGCUAGUGUAUAGAUAAAAAUCAAGAAAAACUAGUGUUUACUAGAUUCAUAAUGACAUAAGAAGACACUUGCACAACGUGAUCGGAUGUCAUCUAUAUCCUCUUGUGGAAAUGGUGUUUUAUUGCUAGACGCUUAUAAUUUGAACAAAAUUUAAAUUAUGAUAAGAUAACUACAACAAUAAUAAAUAACAAUUAUACAUAAAUUACAUGUAUAUGGAUAAAGUUAAUACCUUAUUCAAUGAAUUAAUAAUGCCAUUAGAGAAA
rnacentral:lncRNA from 1 species